AGAUUGUAGGAUUAUAGG
rnacentral:piRNA from 1 species